rnacentral:rRNA from 1 species
GACGAACGCUGGCGGCGUGCUUAACACAUGCAAGUCGAACGGAAAGGCCCCUUUGGGGGUCCUCGAGUGGCGAACGGGUGAGUAACACGUGAGUAACCUGCCCUUGACUUCGGGAUAACUUCAGGAAACUGGGGCUAAUACCGGAUAGGAAUCCUUGCUGCAUGGUGGGGGUUGGAAAGCUUCGGCGGUUUUGGAUGGACUCGCGGCUUAUCAGCUUGUUGGUGGGGUAGUGGCUUACCAAGGCUUUGACGGGUAGCCGGCCUGAGAGGGCGACCGGCCACAUUGGGACUGAGAUACGGCCCAGACUCCGACGGGAGGCAGCAGUGGGGAAUAUUGCACAAUGGGCGGAAGCCUGAUGCAGCAACGCCGCGUGCGGGAUGACGGCCUUCGGGUUGGAAACCGCUUUCAGCAGGGGCGAAGCUUGUGGUGACGGUACCUGCAGAAGAAGCACCGGCUAACUACGUG